rnacentral:pre_miRNA from 1 species
AUCACAUAGGGAUCUUGUUAAAAUGCAGAUUCUGAUUCAGGAGCCUGAGGUUCUGCAUUUCUAAUAAGCUUUCAGGUGCUGCUGA